AGCUCCAAUAGCGUAUAUUAAAGUUGUUGCAGUUAAAAAGCUCGUAGUUGGAUUUCGGAGUGGGCCAGUUGGUCCGCCGCAAGGUGUGUUACUGACUGGUUUGCUCUUCUUCGCAAAGACUGCGUGUGCUCUUCAGUGAGUGUGCGUAGGAUUUACGACGUUUACUUUGAAAAAAUUAGAGUGUUCAAAGCAGGCUAUUGCUUGAAUACAUGAGCAUGGAAUAAUGGAAUAGGACUUUGGUCCCAUUUUGUUGGUUUCUAGGGCCGAAGUAAUGAUUAAGAGGGACAAUUGGGGGCAUCCGUAUUUCGUUGUCAGAGGUGAAAUUCUUGGAUUUACGAAAGACGAACAACUGCGAAAGCACUUGCCAAGAGUGUUUUCA
rnacentral:rRNA from 1 species